CCUACGGGAGGCAGCAGUGGGGGAUAUUGCACAAUGGGGGGAACCCUGAUGCAGCGACGCCGCGUGGGUGAAGGAGUGCUUCGGCAUGUAAAGCCCUAUCGGCAGGGAAGAAGCAAGACGGUACCUGACUAAGAAGCCCCGGCUAAAUACGUGCCAGCAGCCGCGGUAAUACGUAGGGGGCGAGCGUUAUCCGGAUUCACUGGGUGUAACGGGAGGGUAGACGGCCAUGCAAGCCAGGGGUGAAAGCCGGGGGCCCAACCCCGGGACUGCCCUUGGAACUGCAUGGUUGGAGUGCGGGAGGGGCAGGCGGAAUUCCUGGUGUAGCGGUGAAAUGCGUAGAUAUCAGGAGGAACACCGGCGGCGAAGGCGGCCUGCUGGACCGCGACUGACGUUGAGGCUCGAAAGCGUGGGGAGCGAACAGGAUUAGAUACCCUAGUAGUC
rnacentral:rRNA from 1 species